UAGGGAAUAUUGCACAAUGGGCGAAAGCCUGAUGCAGCAACGCCGCGUGUGCGAUGAAGGCCUUCGGGUCGUAAAGCACUUUUCUGAGGGAUGAGCAAGGACAGUACCUCAGGAAUAAGUCUCGGCUAACUACGUGCCAGCAGCCGCGGUAAAACGUAGGAGGCAAGCGUUAUCCGGAUUCACUGGGCGUAAAGCGCGUGCAGGCGGUUCGGUAAGUUGGGCGUGAAAUCUCCUGGCUUAACUAGGAGAGGUCGUUCAAUACUACCGGGCUAGAGAGUGGUAGAGGAAGAUGGAAUUCCAGGUGUAGUGGUGAAAUGCGUAGAUAUCUGGAGGAACACCAGUGGCGAAAGCGAUCUUCUGGACCAUUUCUGACGCUCAGACGCGAAAGCUAGGGUAGUAAACGGG
rnacentral:rRNA from 1 species